rfam:Homo sapiens chromosome 6, GRCh38 reference primary assembly.
AUCCUUUUGUGGUUCAUAAGCUUGAUGAUUGAGUUUUCGCGUCCACAUGUGAGAUGUGCCUCCCUUGAGCCUUGUCAUUGGCACAUUACCUGCCUGAUG